rnacentral:rRNA from 1 species
CAAUGGGCGCAAGCCUGAUCCAGCAAUGCCGCGUGCAGGAUGAAGGCCUUCGGGUUGUAAACUGCUUUUGUACGGAACGAAAAGCCCUGGGUUAAUACCCUGGGGUCAUGACGGUACCGUAAGAAUAAGCACCGGCUAACUACGUGCCAGCAGCCGCGGUAAUACGUAGGGUGCGAGCGUUAAUCGGAAUUACUGGGCGUAAAGCGUGCGCAGGCGGUUUUGUAAGACAGAGGUGAAAUCCCCGGGCUCAACCUGGGAACUGCCUUUGUGACUGCAAGGCUAGAGUACGGCAGAGGGGGAUGGAAUUCCGCGUGUAGCAGUGAAAUGCGUAGAUAUGCGGAGGAACACCGAUGGCGAAGGCAAUCCCCUGGGCCUGUACUGACGCUCAUGCACGAAAGCGUGGGGAGCAAACAGGAUUAGAUACCCUGGUAGUCCACGCCCUAAACGAUGUCAACUGGUUGUUGGGUCUUAACUGACUCAGUAACGAAGCUAACGCGUGAAGUUGACCGCCUGGGGAGUACGGCCG